AACAAUUUGAACUGGUGCGUUCUUUUGGAAAUCAACAAUAAAAAAUGCAAAACAAAUUGUGGAUACAAAAGUAACGGCGAGCCGUAUUGGAAAAAAGCGUCAGAAACGUUUGCAGCGAGUGCUGAGGGAACAGCAUAUGUAAUGCUUAAUGGGAAUAAUCCAAAAAAAGCCGUUGAUCCAACUAGCAUUUUUGCACAAGUAGAACUACCUGUCUUAAAGAAAAAAUCUAAUAUUGAACAGUUGGUUUUUUUUGUGGUCAACGAUCAAAAUACAAAGGCAAAAGAAAACUGUAGCAAAGGAUCAGUAAAAAAUUUAAUGACCAAUUUAAAAAAAGAAAAGAAAAAAACUGAAUGUUACGACA